rnacentral:tRNA from 1 species
GCGGGAGUGGCGGAACGGCAGACGCGCAAGAUUUAGGAUCUUGUGGAGAAAUCCAUGGGGGUUCGAGUCCCCCUUCCCGCACCA